rnacentral:rRNA from 1 species
AGCGAACGCUGGCGGCAGGCCUAACACAUGCAAGUCGAACGAACCUUUCGGGGCGAGUGGCGGACGGGUGAGUAACACGUGGGAACGUGCCUUUAGGCUCGGAAUAACUCAGGGAAACUUGUGCUAAUACCGAAUGUGCCCUUCGGGGGAAAGAUUUAUCGCCUUUAGAGCGGCCGGCGUCUGGUUAGCUGGUUGGUUGAGGUAAUGGCUCACCAAGGAGACGAUCAGUAGCUGGUCUGAGAGGAUGAUCAGCCACAUUGGGACUGAGACACGGCCCAACAUCCUACGGGAGGCAGCAGUGGGGAAUCUUGCGCAAUGGGCGCAAGCCUGACGCAGCCAUGCCGCGUGAAUGAUGAAGGUCUUAGGAUUGUAAAAUUCUUACACCGGAGACGAUAAUGACGGUACCCGGAGAAGAAGCCCCGGCUAACUUCGUG